GUGGGGAAUAUUGGACAAUGGGCGAAAGCCUGAUCCAGCCAUGCCGCGUGUGUGAAGAAGGUCUUCGGAUUGUAAAGCACUUUAAGUUGGGAGGAAGGGCAGUAAGUUAAUACCUUGCUGUUUUGACGUUACCGACAGAAUAAGCACCGGCUAACUUCGUGCCAGCAGCCGCGGUAAUACGAAGGGUGCAAGCGUUAAUCGGAAUUACUGGGCGUAAAGCGCGCGUAGGUGGUUUUGUAAGUUGGAGGUGAAAUCCCCGGGCUCAACCUGGGAACUGCCUCCAAAACUGCAUGACUAGAGUACGGUAGAGGGUAGUGGAAUUUCCUGUGUAGCGAUGAAAUGCGUAGAUAUAGGAAGGAACACCAGUGGCGAAGGCGACUACCUGGACUGAUACUGACACUGAGGUGCGAAAGCGUGGGGAGCAAACAGGAUUAGAAACCCUUGUAGUCC
rnacentral:rRNA from 1 species